rfam:Salmo salar isolate Sally breed double haploid chromosome ssa06, whole genome shotgun sequence.
AAGAUUGAGUGCUGUAAUCGCUCUGGAUAAGAGCGUCUGCUAAAUGACGUAAA